UACGUAGGGCGCAAGCGUUGUCCGGAAUUAUUGGGCGUAAAGAGCUCGUAGGCGGCCUGUUACGUCUGCUGUGAAAUCCCGGGGCUUAACCCCGGGCGUGCAGUGGAUACGGGCAGGCUGGAGGCAGGCAGGGGAGAACGGAAUUCCCGGUGUAGCGGUGAAAUGCGUAGAGAUGCGGAGGAACACCGAUGGCGAAGGCAGCCCCCUGGGCUGACACUGACGCUGAGGCACGAAAGCGUGGGGAGCGAACAGG
rnacentral:rRNA from 1 species